rnacentral:rRNA from 1 species
CCUACGGGUGGCUGCAGUGAGGAAUAUUGGUCAAUGGACGAGAGUCUGAACCAGCCAAGUAGCGUGAAGGAUGACUGCCCUCUGGGUUGUAAACUUCUUUUAUAUGGGAAUAAAAUGUUCCACGUGUGGGCUUUUGUAUGUACCAUAUGAAUAAGGAUCGGCUAACUCCGUGCCAGCAGCCGCGGUAAUACGGAGGAUCCGAGCGUUAUCCGGAUUUAUUGGGUUUAAAGGGAGCGUAGGUGGAUUGUUAAGUCAGUUGUGAAAGUUUGCGGCGCAAACGUAAAAGUGCAGUUGAAACUGGCUGUCUUGAGUACAGGAGAGGUGGGCGGAAUGCGUGGUGUAGCGGUGAAAUGCUUAGAUAUCACGAAGAACUCCGAUUGCGAAGGCAGCUCACUGGACUGCAACUGACACUGAGGCUCGAAAGUGUGGGUAUCAAACAGGAUUAGAUACCCCUGUAGUC